rnacentral:lncRNA from 1 species
GGAGGGAGAGAAGAAAACGAGAGAGAGAGAAAAAGGGAGCGGGGUUGGGUUAGUUUUAGGCCGGGUCGGGGCGUCGGGUAUGGGUCGGUUUGUUGGGUUUCGGGUUAAGAAUUCAUACCUGGGUGACGUGGUGCGACGACGGUACCUCGCGGCCACACCCCGCUCCCAGAACUUAUGUCCGUUCCUCAAAAUGACGCGCGACCUCCUGUCCUCGCGGCCACACCCCGCUCCCAGAACUUAUGUCCGUUCCUCAAAAUGACGCGCGACCUCCUGUCCUCGCGGCCACACCCCGCUCCCAGAACUUAUGUCCGUUCCUCAAAAUGACGCGCGACCUCCUGACCCCGCGGUCACACCCCGC